rnacentral:lncRNA from 1 species
CAAAGUAUAUAGAAAGGAGCCUGAUCUGCAGAUGUGGAAUCCGACAUUAUGUUGUGACAGAUAUGGGAUGCAGUUCAUGGGUGAAACAAUAUACUUAUGAGCAGAAUACUGAGCCUCACAAGUCUUCUCCGUACAAACCUCAAGCAAAUGUAGCAAUGAAGUGGCUAACAAGAACUUAAAAAAGAUUCUCUCAAAGAUG